GAUGAACGCUAGCGGGAGGCUUAACACAUGCAAGUCGAGGGGCAGCACGUCUUCGGAUGGUGGCGACCGGCGCACGGGUGCGUAACGCGUAUGCAACCUGCCUUAUGCAGGGGGAUAGCCCGGGGAAACCCGGAUUAAUACCUCAUGAGACCUUUUUCCCGCAUGGGGUGAAGGUGAAAGAUUUAUCGGCAUAAGAUGGGCAUGCGUCUGAUUAGCUAGUUGGUAGGGUAAAGGCCUACCAAGGCGACGAUCAGUAGGGGUUCUGAGAGGAACAUCCCCCACACUGGUACUGAGACACGGACCAGACUCCUACGGGAGGCAGCAGUGAGGAAUAUUGGUCAAUGGGCGGAAGCCUGAACCAGCCAUUCCGCGUGAAGGAAGAAGGCCUUAUGGGUUGUAAACUUCUUUUCUGUUAGAAGAAUAAGCCCGUCGUGACGGGUGAUGCCGGUAUAGCAGGAAUAAGCAUCGGCUAACUCCGUGCCAGCAGCCGCGGUAAAACGUAGCGUGC
rnacentral:rRNA from 1 species